UGAGCACGUACUUAGGAUGCGUUCACAAUUAAAUUUUCUUGACCUCUUGAAGUCUAAUUAAGUAUAUUUUUAUUUCUAAAGGGACGUCUUCGCACGUCGUCCAAGACCAACUUAAAGAAUUUACGGUAAGGAGUUAGCUCUUGAGGUUGAACAUGAACGAGGAGGCGAAGGUGUUGGGAAAUGACUAUUAACAAGUAGUUAGGUAGCCUAAAGUAGUAUGUCUUCAUAUAUACUAUUUUGUCUUGGACUCUUCCUCUGCAAUAGAACUAUAUUCUAGGAAUUUAUGAAUUUAGUCUCGAUACUCUGAUUCUCUUUUGACUAUGUAACCGUUCGCCUUCGAAACCA